rnacentral:lncRNA from 1 species
GACACCUGGCCGCAGACCUCUCCUGUUAUUUACAGUCAAACAACUCAGCAGGGGGGUAUGUGCCUAGGAGUGCUCUGUGGGUCUUUCCCAGGACAAGGUCACGCCCCCUUCCUUGGACAGGCCUUGAGGGAGAAGCUGCUGUUGUUUAUUUUUAAGAAUGGAGCCCCAUCAGUUCCUCACCCUGAGCCAGCUCCAGGCUGCGGCCUUGCUAGUGCUUCUCAGUUUCUCCUUUCCUCCUCAGUGGGAAGGAGGGCAGCAUGGAGCGGAGCACAAGGCUGCUCAGAGGGCAGCUGUUGGUGCAGGACAGCUGCUGCCCCGGAUGCUGAGAGCUCUCGGGCUCCUGGCUCCCGCAGUGGCUUCUCCUUAAGUGCAGCGACCGCUCAGCGCUGUCUCCCCAGAAUGGGACGUGGCAGUUGCAAUGCAGCUUUAGUUUUCUGACAGAUCCGGGAGUCGUUGGAUUUGGUUUCUUCAACUUUUUCCGGUAGCAGUGGAGGUGGGUGGCUUCUACACGCUCAUGUGCUGGAGGGACACCUGGAGUCUGCAUCCAGUUCCAGAUUCCAGUUACUGCGCUUUCCAGCUCCAGAAUUCCCACUCGGUCACGUUACAGUCGCUGUCCUUUUAUCGAUCUGCUUUGCACAUGACACUAUCUGGCUUUCCUUUGCUUUUUACAAGCUAGCUAGCUUUCUUCAGUUCUGUGGAGGGUCUGUCAUGGCUGUUUUGCAGUCUUUUUCUGCUAAAGCCAGCACCAGCUGUUCCUGCAGCAGUUCACCACUCACUCUCCCCAGGGUCUGGUCCUACCUCCGUAUUUCUUUGUAGGGCUUUUGUGAUUUUUUUUUGUUGGAAGAUGUUACCAAGCCACGCUGGUUCUGCCUGCCAUGCAGGGUGCACCUACUACGGAAGGGACAGGUUUUGGGAAAGGGAAAGCAUGUCCAAUAGCUAGCACCUGCAGACAGCAUGUGACGAGGACCAAGAGGCUGCUCACUCAGGCCUCAGAGCAGGAAAUGGGGCGUCUCUGCCUCCGUUUGCAUCUGUCUCCUUGGUACAAGUCAGCCACCGUGGCCUCCAGGAACACAGGCCUGGGGCAGCAGCAUCUUGGGAGGAGCACAUCUACCCCAGCAGCACGACUUUCUUGCCUGGGCUUACCUGACCAGCCAGACCCCAGUUUGGCCAAGACCCCCAGCCGUAUUCUUCUGGCCCCUGUCUAUUUGAUCUGAAACAUAUGAACAUGGGCAGGCUGUAUACGCUGGUCUUCCCAAUAUUGCCACACUGAUUAAAGUUCUUUUCCCACUUUGGGGUGACUGAGUGGAGCUGAUUUGUUGGGAC